rnacentral:rRNA from 1 species
UACGAAGGGGGCUAGCGUUGUUCGGAGUUACUGGGCGUAAAGGGCGCGUAGGCGGCGCAUCAAGUCAGGCGUGAAAGCCCUGGGCUCAACCCGGGAAUUGCGCUUGAGACUGGUGUGCUUUGAGUACGGGGAGAGGAUAGUGGAAUUCCCAGUGUAGAGGUGAAAUUCGUAGAUAUUGGGAAGAACACCAGUGGCGAAAGGCGGCUAUCU